CGGCAACUUCGAUGGGAUCAGAGCAGUCGGCGUAGAAAUCUCGUCGGGAACAUUGCAAAGACACUGGAAAAUAAUGUGGUUCCUGUUUUUUUUUUUUUUGCUCGGACUGGCUCGGAUGCCCGUUUGCAGGGCCUUUUGUGUGUGGUUGACCCUGACCUCUGACCUCCCUGUGGAGGAGGGAAGGUGAGAGGAGGAAAUUCAACAAAACGGAUCAAUAAAACUUCACAGAAACUGGGCAGUGAUAACAGAGAUGCGGAACCAUUUGACCAGAUUCUUGGUGCUCUGAAGUUUGGGAUGAAGACAAUACUCCUGCCCUUUGAACCGAGCCACGUUCUCCAUCGUCACACUGAGAGGACGAGCAAAGAAGAGACAAAACAACAACAAAAGACAGAAAUGUUUUAAAAAAACAAACAUGUUAUGAAUUAAAUAUGAUAUAUAAAAAUUAGGAAUCUUGCUCACUCCCAUGGUUUUUAUAUUGAAGUCUCAGUGGUUCCUGUUACUUCAUGAUCCUCUAAAGUUUUACAACUCAACAUGAUAAUAACAUUAGUGAAGAAAACGUACAGAUUUAACUUUUUUUUGUUAUGAAAUACACUGUAUGAUGUGUUUUACAUCAAUAUAUGCAUUUACGUCGUCAUACUAUAUAGUUAUUAAUCUUACAUAUAUCCUAUGUUUGAGGAAACAGUACCACUUUUGUCCACGUGGGGGCGCCACAAUCAACACAAAAUGAAAAUGCCUGUAGUUGCUUUAAAUAAAUCUUUGACAUUUAGACUUCAGAAGAAUAAUUUGGCUAGAAAAUAAUUUAAUUAGACUGCACAACAUGUUGGAGACACAGUUUAAAAGACGGUUGAGUCCAACUACAGGCGCCAAUUGAAAGUGAAUGUAUUGUAUGAAUUUCAAAAGAACAAAAUCAAGUAAAAAAGCUGAUUUGCGGGUAUUUAAAACUUUCUGAAAGCCAGUCUGAGUUACUUGAAUAGAGACUAUCAAGUUGUAAAACGUUUGACAUGUUUUUGCCCCAAAUUUUAGCUGCUAUUCUGCACCGGCCUCAAUGAGAUUUCUGCAGU